rnacentral:rRNA from 1 species
UACCGAGGGGGCCAGCGUUAUUCGGGAUUAUUGGGCGUAAAGGGCGCGUAGGCGGCCAUGCGUGUCUUUCGUGAAAUCCCUCGGCUUAACUGAGGACGUGCGGAAGAAACUGCAAGGCUUGAGUCCGGGAGAGGGGGGUGGAAUUCCCAGUGUAGCGGUGAAAUGCGUAGAUAUUGGGAGGAACACCGGUGGCGAAGGCGGCCCCCUGGACCGGUACUGACGCUGAGGUGCGAAAGCGUGGGGAGCAAACAGG